rnacentral:rRNA from 1 species
GAGCCCGCGUCCCAUUAGCUUGUUGGUAAGGUAAUGGCCUACCAAGGCGACGAUGCGUAGCCGGCCUGAGAGGGUGAACGGCCACACUGGCACUGAGAUAAGGGCCAGUCUCCUACGGGAGCCAGCAGUCUAGAAAUUUGCACAAAUGCCGAAAGGCGGAUGCAGCGACACCACGUGGAGGAUGAAGCCCCUCGGGGUGUAAACUCCUGUCAGAAGGGAAGAAGGCGCGGGCGUUAAUACCGCUCGUUGCUUGACGGUACCUUCAGAGGAGGCUCCGGCUAACUACGUGCCAGCAGCCGCGGUAAUACAUAGGGAGCGAGCGUUGUUCGGAUUUACUGGGCGUAAAGGGCACGUAGGCGGGUAUGCAAGUCGGUUGUGAAAUCCUCUGGCUCAACCAGAGAACCGCAGCCGAAACUGCACACCUAGAGUCCAGGAAAGGGAAUCGGAAUCCCAGGUGUAGCGGAGGUAUGCGUAGAUAUCUGGUAUAACAUCACUGGCGAAAGCGGAUUCCUGGGCUGGUACUGACGCUGAGGUGCGAAAGCUAAGGGAGCAAACUGGAUUAGAUACCCUGGUAGUCUUAGCCGUAAACGAUGGACACUAUGUGCCGGGG